rnacentral:rRNA from 1 species
GAGGCAGCAGUGGGGAAUAUUGCACAAUGGGCGCAAGCCUGAUGCAGCCAUGCCGCGUGUAUGAAGAAGGCCCUAGGGUUGUAAAGUACUUUCAGUCGGGAGGAAGGCGUUGAUGCUAAUAUCAUCAACGAUUGACGUUACCGACAGAAGAAGCACCGGCUAACUCCGUGCCAGCAGCCGCGGUAAUACGGAGGGUGCAAGCGUUAAUCGGAAUUACUGGGCGUAAAGCGCACGCAGGCGGUUGAUUAAGUU